CAUGAACCUUUAGUCACUUGCCCAUGCCUGCGUUAAGUAAUUGCAGUAAACCCACAGUUCAUUAAGCUAAAUUUCAGUAGAGCCAUAUUUUGGUUUGUUGUCAGCACUCUAUCUGAGCUGUUGUGUGUAUGGUUUCCUAGCAAAAGCCAUACAACACAAACCCAGGAGGCAGUCAGGAUCUAGAGCCAUGCAGCCCAACGCAAACAAAACAUAAGGCACAAUUAGCAAGUGUGGGGCAGGCUUUUAAAUUGUCUAGCAGUCACAUUAAAACCAUUUAAUAACAAGCAGGGUUAUUAAUCUUAUUGAUGUAUUUUGCUUAAUCUAAUGCACGAAGAAUAUUAUCAUUUUGGCAUGUAAUCAAUGUUAGAAAUUAUUAGUGUGACAUUCUAAAACAUGCCACGUGAUUUGCACUUGCAGCCCAAAGACUUUGAGGGGAGUUUGACAGCUGCGGGUGGUGAGCAACGCUGACCUAAAAUUUGCUUUGCUUUAGUGAGCUCCCUAAGCUGCUUGUGGGACUCAAAGCACUUGAAGGUGGACCUGCAGGAAGAGUACUUUGUGGGUAGCAAGGCCACAGCUGUGAUGCACAGUAGAAGAAAUGGAAACAUCACUGUCACCGGAUGGAUCUACUAUACAAACAGACAGUGGCAAUCUGACCAUCACCAACCUCUGUCUUGAGAAGGCAGAGAGGCUGUUCAUGAGGCUCAGGGAUAUUCUGAGAGAGUACAGUGUCUUCUCAAAAUCUUCCUCCUGUCUGUGUGUACAGCAGAUGCUCUGUGCAUGGGAAGGAGUAUGCUGCAUUAAGCCCCAGUAUCAAGAGCAGCCACAACCAUACAGCCAAGGCCUUGGCAAGAACUGGGAAAACUCCUGUCAGAGGAUGCAAUGUCCUUUCCAGAUUCAAUAUUAUGCAAACUGUGUAUCAGCACAUGGAGUAAACAAGUAUGGCCAGGAAGCUUCUUGAUACACAGAGAUGGAGGCCUCACCAAUGCACAGACACAGACCUAUGCUCUAUGCAGUGUCUGCUGACUUCAACUCCCCUAGUUUUGGGCCAUCUUGCUUCCUUGGAACACAUGGCUGGAGUCUGGGAAUUUAGUUGUUAGUCCUUGGUAAUAGCAAGUAUUUGAAAAUCAAAUGUGUGCAGUGAUUGCCUGGGUCU
rnacentral:lncRNA from 1 species